UGGAAAGAAGGCUAAAGGAGCUCCAAAAUCACCUGCUAGGAACAUGACAGCCACACGCUCUUUGUCAUCUGCUGUUUCAGCUCCUGGCAAGAAACAAAGUACUGUUGCAGAAAGCAAGCUGCCGUCCUCUGGUCUACAGAAGCCUCGAGCCUCUGGCCUGGCACCCCCGUCUUCCCUCAGAUCCCGA